CAAGCCUUCUCUUCUGCUUCAUCCAAUUUAGCUUCAUUAAAAAUUUCACUCGUGUCCAGUGUGAUUCAGCUGACUACAUUAACGCUAUCAGGAAACAGCACUUUCUGAAACGCCAUCUGCUGCUCUACGCAGGACUUCUUGUUGUGCAAGUUAUUCAUCAUCACGGCAAAGGUCAAAGUUCACGGGGUGUCUGCUUUUCCAGGGGAGCUGGGCAACUGAUGCGGAAUUUAAAAAGCAAAGCUACGAAUACUCCAAGCAUGUUUUUCUUUGGUUCUGUACAUUUCUGUUCUCUGCUGUGCCAUUCCAAGACUGACUAGGGGGGAUUUGGAAAAUGUUCAACUUGGAACCUCUGGAAUCUAUAGAGUUUUAAAAAAUGGAUUUCUAAAAUGGUGAUGAAAGAAGUACUUUCUUGGCAGUAUACCCUUACAUACUUACCUCCUUUUCCUUGCUUUAGUUUAAUCAUAUUUUGGACUCCCUUAUCAGCAGGCCACUAUACGAGCAACAAAUCAUAAUGAAACGUUUUAAAAACAAA